UCAAAAUAAUUGUAAAGUUUACAGGGGAAACCUAGAGAGAGAAUUCUCUCCAAAUAUGUAUGUUCAAGAUGUGAGGCCUCCUCUCUCUUAAAUAAAACCCUAAAAGAUGUUAUUUAUACUAAAGCCUAAUUAAGGAAAUAAAAUAACAAAAUUAAUAAAAUUCUCAGAAUAGGUGACGUCAUUUGUGACGGCACGUCAGAGUUCUGACGGCUUGUGCGAAAUAUCGUCAAAUCUUCUAGUAUAUUAGCAUCUUAUACUUCUCCUGACGACAAAAUCUUGAAGGCGUGUCAAAUAUGUGACGGCAUGUCAGAAAUGUCAUCAUAUCUACACUAGAAAUCAUCCUAUUCUGCUUAGAGUUGAUGGCAAUUUAGACUCCUUAUCACAGGUCUGACGGCGCUUCAAAUAUAUUGUCACACUUCACUUCACUUCUUCAGGUUCUGUCUAAGGUUGACGGCAAUUUUGAUAGCCUUUCACAUGUCUGACGAUGCUUCAAAUAUGUCGUCAGCUCUACUUUAUCUUAUUUGCACCAGAUUUCAACUGAUUUGUUCUUCUUUCCUUUAGUGUCCUCCCCAAUCACUUACAUCUGCAUUAACACAAUAAAAACAAUCAAAAACAACAAAAGUUUCUUAAGACUUCGCAAUUAUUUAGAUUUAAAAGCCUCAAAUGUGUUAGCAUCUGCUCACACAUCAUAUACAACAAUAUACGACCAACUCAUGAAGAAGUACAAAGUCUUGAUAUGCAAAUGAUUGAGGGAUUUCAAUUAAAAGAAGCUGAAAGCUAUGUGGAUUUCGCCCAGAAAUUAUUGCAGAUUAUUCCAAUAAAAGACUUGUUGUCAAUGUACAGUCACAAGUGGACUUCGAUAUACAAGGUUUUGAGGAAUUUAGUGCGGUCCCUCCUACAAAAAUUCUCAAGAAGGCAGGUUUGAUUACUGAUGCUUCAAUAUCACAUCUGACUAAGAAGCAAAAAACAGUUUGUUUUUAAUUCCACAACUGCCAAGGAGCAAGUUUGUCAGAAAACACCAUCUUUUGUUUCAACAAGAGCAGUGCUAACUCAAAAAAUAGCUUAUUCAGGUUCGGAGCGUGUUCUUACCGAAAAGACAACUCCAUCAUCACAACUCACGUCAGUUUGUCAUGACAAUUCUGAUGAAAAGUUGACACAAAAACCAACCAUCUUCAUGAUCUAAUAGUCGAACAACAUCAAGACUCAAAUGAAAAAAUGAAUAAACAACAUGUGACCUCAUCCAAAUAUUGAAACACAACAGCCGAAAAAAUGAAAAGGUUCAUAUUUUGGAUGGUUCAACUGUCGGAGAAAAAUCAACACCAGCUCAAGUAGACGAGAUGGAUAUCAUACAGAAUAUUAAAGGCGUACAAAAAGGGGUAUUUUUUUAAACAUA